CCGAAUUCAGACAAACUCCGAAUGCCAAUUAAUUUAACUUGGGAGUCAGAACAUGGGUGAUAAGGUCCAUGUUCGAAAGGGAAACAGCCCAGACCACCAGCUAAGGUCCCAAAAUAUAUGUUAAGUGGAAAAGGAUGUGGCGUUGCCCAGACAACUAGGAUGUUGGCUUAGAAGCAGCCAUCAUUUAAAGAGUGCGUAAUAGCUCACUAGUCGAGUGACACUGCGCCGAAAAUGUACCGGGGCUAAACAUAUUACCGAAGCUGUGGAUUGUCCUUUGGACAAUGGUAGGAGAGCGUUCUAAGGGCGUUGAAGCAUGAUCGUAAGGACAUGUGGAGCGCUUAGAAGUGAGAAUGCCGGUGUGAGUAGCGAAAGAUGGGUGAGAAUCCCGUCCACCGAUUGACUAAGGUUUCCAGAGGAAGGCUCGUCCGCUCUGGGUUAGUCGGGUCCUAAGCUGAGGCCGACAGGCGUAGGCGAUGGAUAACAGGUUGAUAUUCCUGUACCACCUAUAAUCGUUUUAAUCGAUGGGGGGACGCAGUAGGAUAGGCGAAGCGUGCGAUUGGAUUGCACGUCUAAGCAGUAAGGCUGAGUAUUAGGCAAAUCCGGUACUCGUUAAGGCUGAGCUGUGAUGGGGAGAAGACAUUGUGUCUUCGAGUCGUUGAUUUCACACUGCCGAGAAAAGCCUCUAGAUAGAAAAUAGGUGCCCGUACCGCAAACCGACACAGGUAGUCAAGAUGAGAAUUCUAAGGUGAGCGAGCGAACUCUCGUUAAGGAACUCGGCAAAAUGACCCCGUAACUUCGGGAGAAGGGGUGCUCUUUAGGGUUAACGCCCAGAAGAGCCGCAGUGAAUAGGCCCAAGCGACUGUUUAUCAAAAACACAGGUCUCUGCUAAACCGUAAGGUGAUGUAUAGGGGCUGACGCCUGCCCGGUGCUGGAAGGUUAAGAGGAGUGGUUAGCUUCUGCGAAGCUACGAAUCGAAGCCCCAGUAAACGGCGGCCGUAACUAUAACGGUCCUAAGGUAGCGAAAUUCCUUGUCGGGUAAGUUCCGACCCGCACGAAAGGCGUAACGAUUUGGGCACUGUCUCAACGAGAGACUCGGUGAAAUCAUAGUACCUGUGAAGAUGCAGGUUACCCGCGACAGGACGGAAAGACCCCGUGGAGCUUUACUGUAGCCUGAUAUUGAAAUUCGGCACAG
rnacentral:rRNA from 1 species